CAGAGUGCAGCACAUACAACUCCACAUUGAAUUUUUGUAGAGAAUCAUACAAGUGCCGCCGUUGAUUUGUGUGGCAGUGAAAUUCGGACAGCUGAGGAAGAAUUAUCAUUGUCAAAGCGUAAAUCUCUAGAAAAUAAUAAAAAAUUGAGGUUGCAGGGAAAGCCAUUCUCAACUUCAAAAGGCAAAACCAGGAAAACAGUUACCACCUGAUGAAGCAGAGGUGACGAGCAGUGUCGAUCAACAUCAGUGAAUGAGAUGUGAGGCAUGUGGGGGAGCUGGGGCAGCCGGAGGGGGAGUGGCUGGACCCCGUCAAAGUGGGGGGACACGGUGGUGCCCCCCUGUGUCCCCUGAGGCCCCCCCUGAAGACCCCCGGGCGUCGGCUGCUGUGAGAACGGCGAGAUGCAUGGUGCCGGAUUCUGGUUUUCCUUCUCAGAUGGACACAUCGGGAUGCGUUCGGUGUGUGCUAAGCCUCGCACCUAAACAACCACAAAACAAAUAAUAUCACUGGACGAAUCAAAUGAAAUUUAUUACCUACUAUUAAACUAACAGAAGUCUGAUUUUAUAUGUUCAAUGGUCAAUGGGCUGUGAGUGAAAUAAAGCUUCUCUAUAGUCUCUA